AUGUCCGGCUCGUCGUCGGUCACGCUGCAAUACACGGGAAUCGGCGCCUUCGUCGCCAUCGUCCUCCUCGGCCUCGCCUACUUCGGCCGGUCCAUCAUCACCGGCCGCCACGACGUCCACACCGGGCAUGGCACGGCCACCGCGAGCCCGGGGCAGCAACUGGGCCUCGCCCCCGACGACAUCGCCGUACUCCCGACGUUCACGUACCUCGCCGCCUCGCCUGGCCGCUGGGGCGGCGGCGGCAAGGCCAAGGCCAAGGCCGUGGCAGCGGACAGCUGCGCCGUGUGCCUCGAAGAGCUCCGCGAGGGCGCGCUGGUGCGCAUGCUGCCGUCGUGCAAGCACUACUUCCAUGCGAGCUGCGUCGACGUGUGGCUGCUGUCGCACGCGACGUGCCCAGUCUGCCGAGCGAGCCCGGCCCCCGAGAGAGUCCGCCUGGGCGCGGUGUCCAUGUCGCCGCCGCUCCCGCAGCUGCGACCAUACGGCGGGUGA
rnacentral:rRNA from 1 species